UAACAAGCUAAAAUGUUGAUUUGUCAUAUGAUUGGAAGUUUUAAAUAUUAUGUGGACGCUCUUAAUAGCUUAUAGCCUCAACAUUUUUUAAAAUAGUAAACUAAAAUAAUGAUUUGUCAUAUUACGAUUGUAGCUUUUAAAUCGUAUGUAGACGCUCUUAUUAGCUUAUAGCUGUAACUUUUUUAAAAAAAUAGUAAACUAAAAUAAUGAUUUGUCAUACUACGAUUGGUCGUUUAAAUCAUAAAUUUGGAAAACUUCUAUUUUAUGUUAAAUAUACAUAUAACGUUUAAAACUUCUAUUUUAUGUUAAUAUACAUAAAUUUGGAAAGCUGACAAAAAAAAAGCAGACAAAAAAAAUACAUAAAUUUGGAAAUCAUGUCAUUUUCAAAACUAAUAAUUAUCUUUUAUUAGCAUACUUAAUUAUAUAAUAUAUUUUUUUGGAAACAUUAACAUAUUUAAAAAAUGAUGUGUCAUAAUACGAUUGGUUAUUUAACAUCCUACGUGGACGCCCUCAACGGCUUAUAGCCUCAACUUUUAUAUAGUAUAUACUAGAUUUUAUGCUCGCGCUACACGCGAGUCUGUAUUAAUAAUUUAGUUUAGUUUUAUAAUAACUUUUAAACUAAUUAUCUAGUUGAUUUAUAUAAUUUUCUUAUCUGAAAUAUGAUCUGAUGAUUUUAUUUUUUACAUGUAUUUAUAAAUGUACCCUCUUAUUGGAUAUUUAGUUAUUUGUAUUUAUAAAUGUAAUAAUUAUGUUUAUAAACAUAUUCCCAAUUUUCGAAAAAUAUUAAUUUGUAUUUAAAAAUAGUAUAUAAAUUUCUUGAUGCAUGUAAACUGUUAAUACAUUAUAAUAUUUUAUCAUAAAGUUUACAUAUAUUUUAUUUGAAUAACAUAAACAAUUGAAUUAUUUGCAUAAUAUAUAAUUUUACUUUGUAGUCAAAAAAACUUUUAAUGUGUGAUUGUUAUAUAUAUGUGAUAGUUUGAUUGUUUUAUAUAUAUAUAUAUAUAUAUGUGAUAGUAUAAUAUUUAGAUUUAAAAUUUAAUCACAAUAAAUAUUUUGAUGAACUUUAAUUAAUAUUUAAUAGUGUUUGAAAGAUAUUAUAAAAAAAAUAAAGUAAAUAUAAUGAAUUUAACUAAUGUUAUGUAACAUUUUAUUUAUUGAAUUGAUAAUAUUGAGAAUAUUGUAUAAUUUAUUAAUUAUGUUUAGAGUAGUUAAGCAUGUAUGAUUGUAUAAUUUAUUACAAUUUUUUUUUAUAUGAAAAUAAUACUUGUUUGUUUUGAAGUUUACGUGAAGAUCUUUAAGAUCAUUUGAAAACUAUUACAUAAUUUGAUAAAUUGGUUUAGCUUCUAAAUGCUGACAGUAAGAUAGCAAACGUUUUAGAUAGUGUAUUCAUUGUAAUCCUGAGACUUUUUUCUAAAUGUCUGAAAUUUGUAAAUUUGUAUUUUUAGUUUAUUAUUUAUAAUACUUAGUAGUAUAUUCAUAUUGAUAAAUUCAUAUUGAUUGUUCCACUUAUCAUUCUUUUAUGUUAUCUUACAUGCUAAUUUAUUGUUGGUUUUCGUUAUAAAUUUUAUAUAAAAUCUUAAAUAACUUAUUUGACAUGUUUUCUUAGGCUCUUUAUUUUUCAUUUAUCUUAUAAACAUUGUUCGCUAAAUACUUUCUUACAUUACACAACAUAGAGCAUCUUAAAUUUUAUAUGUUAUAUGAGGCAAAUUUUAUGAAUUCAUCAUGUAGUUUGCUUUAAGAACAAUAUCAUUUAUUUUUUUUGUAAAUCACACCAUGUUAGAUUUAUUUCAGUAUAACUUAUUUGGCUGGUUUCAAUGAAUAUUUUGAUUGUAACUGACUAAAAUAAUACAUUUUUUGUCUAUAAGAUUUUUCCUUUGGCUUGUAUAGUUUACUUUCCAUCGCGAAUGUUUUUCAUUUUCGCUUACUGUUAUUCUUCGUUCACUUCAAAUCAUAUAUUUCUUUAUGUAUUCUUUGUUCAUGAGGAUUAUGUGAUUCUUUGAUUUGGAUAUUAUUAAAGAAAAUACUUUUGAUAUUGAUUUCUAAUUUAUUUUAAAAUACAAUUUUGAAAUUUUAUUUUGAAGACUAUAUCUUAUUUUUUGUUCUUGCAAGUUAAAAUCGGGUAUUCUUUAUAUUUUAUUUUAUUUUAUUAUAGUUAAUUUAUUUUGUUAAAUUUCUAAAUAUUUAGUAUAUAUAUAAAUCAGUUCCAUUUUAAUGAUGUAUUUAUUAGUUUGCCUUAUUUGAUGUUGAAUUAUAUUUUUUAUCGAAAUAAUCCGUUUUGGAAAUUUGAAUAUAUUGAAAUAGUAAGUUAUUAUUAUUAUUUUUCAUAUUUUAAUUGGUUAUUUAUUAUCCUAUGUGUAUGCUCUCAUUGACUUAUAACCUCAAUUUUUAUAUAGUGAAUAAAAUAAUGAUUUAGUAUAUUUUGGUGUUUUAAAAUGAUAUAAGAAUAUUAUCAUUGAUUUAUAGCCGCAACUUAUAUAUCAAUACUAUUAAAAGAGAAUGAGUUUUAAUAAAUCGACUUAAAAAAGUUGUUUAGACCAUUUCCUUUUUUAUUUUUUUGGACUUCAUAUUAUAACAAUACGUGACAAGAUAUUUUAUCCUAUAUAUAAGUGAUUUUUACUCUAACUAUCAAACUGGAUACAUUAUUAUUUAUUCUUAACCAUUUAAAUCGAUUGCUAAACCACCCUACCCAAACAAAAUAAAUUACAUGAACCAAAACCAAAGCACAACCUAUUAUAACAGAACCUUAUCGAAAUAUUCAUUUCCCCCACUUUUAAAAACAUCAAAAUAUUCAUUUCACCCACAAGGAGCAUAGUACCAUCGACUACAAAACACAUUACAUGUAAGACACUACGUGAGAGCUCGAUUCAAACCUCCUUACUUGAUACCAUAACCUGCCAUUGUUUUAGAUCUUCUAAACCUGCCAUUGUAUUACUUCUGUUUGAAGAAAAUUAUAAAAUCAACCAUAGACACCAUAGCUUAUACGAAAGAAAAACCAUGCUGGACCCUUUAAUUUUUAAAUAUUUUGGUCUUCCCCUAUAUAAUAUAACAGCAUGUGACCAGCAUUAAAAAAAUUUUAAAAAAGCAAACACAAAUCGGCAAAAGAAUAUGCUAUGACUAUUAUCUUACCAAAAAUCACUUGGAAAUAUCUAUAUUUCUUUCUCUACAAGCUUUUUUAUUCAACCAACCCUAAACAUCUUUAUAUACGCCCAUCAUGUCUCACCAAACCUGACUUUUGAAAAAAACUAUUCACAGAGACAAGAAAAUAAAAAAAUGCGAAAGUGGUUCCUAUCAUGUUUUAUGAAGUCAUUGCAAUGCAUAUGGCCAAUUCAUGAAAAGGUAUCAAAUUUUAUUAUGGUCUGACUAUGGAGAUUUCAAGUUCACGGUGUUGAAGAACAUUUACAAAUAUUUAGGAUUGUCUACUUUGAUUAUAUAUUCAAAAUCUUAUGUUUCAAAUAUGUUUCAGGGAUCCACAAUAAAAAAACUGUUCAACGACCGAAGAACAUUUUGUUAAUCUCCUUGAUGAUCAAGAUAAAUCCAGUUUUUCGUUUGGAUAGAAAAUAAUUUUGGGAACCAUGAAGUAGAAGAUAUUGGGAGUCCAGAUUGUUGUGCCAAAAGUAAUUUUGUUUGGAAUUCAAUAUCUCUUACGUGGGAACCAAACACUGAGAUUUGAAGAAUCUUAUCAACGUACUUUUGAUUUGUUUUCUUAUAAGCUUUUUCAUAUCGUGCACUUCAUAUUUCCAGUUGUUUAAUAAUUGCGGUGAUUUAGGUCCAAAAGUACUUCAGUUUAACGUGUCUGUUCAUUAUGUUUUGGUUAAUUAUCUCUAAUAAACAGAUAUGAUUCCGUUAACAUGUUUAAUUAGGCACACAUUUGGUAAUUUUAAAUAAAAUAAAGAAUAUACUAUUAUUCUCACUCAAACACACGAAACAAAAAAAUAUUAUUAUUCUCACUCAAACACACGAAACAGAACUCAAUAAAUGAUUUGGAAUAUGAUAAGUGGAUAAAUUCGAAGGUUUUGAAGAUAUCAAAGGUUGUAUAUCGUUAUUUAAAAUCUAUACUAUUAUUCUCAAACAAACCACACCAAACAAAAUGUUGGAAAUCAAACCAACGGUCACGUAAUUAUCUAACAGAAAAAUCUAAAUUACUUCCUCUACAAGUUUAUUAACUACGGCCAACUAAACACUUUACCUUAAAUCUCUCAACUAAAAUAAAUAAUCGAUACUUUUAGAAUAUGCUAACUGGAUCAAUUCGAAGAUUUUGCAGAUAACAAAGGAAAGAAAUCAUUAUUGAGAAUAUACUAUUAUCUAACCAAAAAAUCUAAAUGACUUCCUCUACAAGUCUAUUAAUUACGGCCAAGUACACAAUUUACCUUAAAUCUCUCACCUAAAAUAACUAAUCGAUUGGAAAAAAAAUAUUCAUCCAAGAAUUUCGGUAAAAAACAUUAAUUACAAAAUAUUAUCUUAACCUACAUUGUCAUUCCUAGCUAUCCUAUUAUAAAUACAGACUUUCUCUCAACCCUUUAACCAUCCUCUCUAUCGAAUUCAAACUCACCACACAAAAAAAGAGCAUAUCGAUUCCUAAAAUCAUGGUUAACCAUAUGCAGAUCACCUUCUUGAAAGACAUCAAACCGAAAAAGACUGCUUGGCGUGUACAAGUCAAAGUUCUCCACUCAUGGAGACAAUGGAAUAAAAUUUCUGGUGAUUCAUUGGAAUUAAUCCUUUCGGAUGCAAAUGGUACGAAAAUACAAGCAUCGUGUAAAAAGGCUUACAUGGAUGAAUUGGCUAGCAAGGUUCCUGUUGGAGAGUGGAUCAACAUUGAUAACUUCAGUUUGACUGGUGCUGGACGUACACAAAAAAUCCUUUGAAAAUGAAUUUUCUUCACAACACAGACAUCUCCGAGUCAACUCUCCGGAUUGAGAAUAAUUUUCUUGAUUUGGUUGAUUUCGAAACCAUACUAAGUGGCAAACCUGAUCCGAACAUCCUUAUUGAUGUAAUUGGACAGGUUUUAGACUUGGGUGAUCUUGACACAGUUCAUUGUGCUGGAGGAAAACAACGGAAGAAGUUGGAGUUUACACUCAAGAGACAUUAAUGACCUAAGUUUGCCUUGCUGCCUUUGGGAACAUAUGCUGAGAAUGUCCACACAGCUUGCCAAAAAUCUGAAGAAGGGUUACUUGUAUGCCUUUUAAGAUUCGCUAAGAUUGGUCAUUUUAGAGGUAUCUAUACAAUAAAAACUAUAUCCUUGUUGAGAAAAGAUUAUAUGAUUUAGAUUAUAUGUUUAAAAAUAUUAUUUUGCUAUCUGUGCAUAUAACCUAUUCUUAUUUUCAAUAAUAGGGGAAGUCCAAAUCUCAAAUGCUUAUGAUUCAAUAUAGUAGUGCGCCUUGCGCAGGGCGAAUUGACAUCUAUUUUUCGCAUCGACAUCUAUUUUUCAGAACAACAAAAUAAGGACCAAUAGAAGACGAAAAUAAUUUAAAUUACUAUACAACAAUCGAUUUAUCUGAUUCUUACUCUAAUGUUGUGGCGAAUCAUUCUUCUUCUUCAAAGAUAUCUUAUCACUGAAAAUAUGAAAUAAUAAUUAGGAAAAUAAUGGUAAUUAAUUAAAUAAUAUAACCAGAAUAUAUAGAUUUAUAGCAAAAAAUAUAAAAUCCUGUAAUAAGCGUCGAUGGAUGUUAAGAAACAAAGAAACUAUUUAGAAAACAAUUUAUUUAUCUAAUACGAACGCUUACAUAUUUUGUCGGACUUCGUUUUAGAAUUUUUCGAACACAUCGAUAAGCAUUACAAUCUGUCCGAUGAGUUCUUAGAAGUUAUCGGAAACCAAACUGAAGAUUUUUAGAAAGUUAGAUCUCGGUAUUUACAAAAUAAAUAAAAAUCAAAAAGUUUAAGUUUCUUCAAGCUGUAUGAAGAAGAAAUAAGGGAGAAAAGAUUAACCUUAGGAACGAGUCGGCGUCGAACUCGAACAAACUAUUCAUUGAUCGCCAUCGGAGAGAUUUUUUUUUAAUUUUUUUUCUUUCGAUCUAAACAAGACAAGUUUUGUACUUUGUUGUCGGAAGAGAGAAAGUAUUAAAAAGGUUUGGGCCGUAUGUUAACAAAAUUAAUUUCUAACACAGAUAAACCCCAAAUUAAUAAGACCAAAAAUGUAAACAUAAUUAAAUUGAGACCCACAUUAAAUUUAAAAUAGGAAAAAGCCCAAAUACUUAAGAACAUAACUUACAAAAAUAUAUGUGAAAUAAAACAUUCUUUUUAAAAUCUAACUUUUAAUAAUGGAACAUAUGUCUCUGAUACUUUUAUAAAAUAGGAAAUUGUAGUUUAGAUUUAUAUUAUAGAUACUUUUAUAAAAAAAAUUAAAAAUAUUCUAAUACUUGGUUUUAUAAUUGGUAGUUUGAUUGUUAAUAUACAUACAAUUAAAUGUAACAUAAAUCGUUACUAUUAACACUAUAUUUAUCCCAGUUUCAAAUUGCUAUACUAUUUUUACACACAAAUGAAUCUUCAAACAAAUUUCGAACAAACUUCAAAAAUGCAAACGCGUGAUCAAAUUUCAUAGAAAUUAAUUGUGCUUAUGCAAAUGACCUAUAUAUUAGUGAUAUAAUCUUCAAAAUUAUAUGAUUCAAACCCUAAAUUUCAUAAUUAUGAAAAGCGAAACAAAAUCAAACACGCGCUUUGAAGCACGGAUCAAAAUCUAGUAGUAUAUGUUAUAAUUGUUUUCAAUAGCAUAUAGCCUAAACCCUGAAAAUAAUGAGUUAAUUUUAUUUACCUAUAAUUUUUUAAAAGCUUUGUAUUUUUAAAAUUCUUAUUUUGAACUUUGAUUUAAUGUUAAUUUCAAAAUCAUAUAUAUUAAGUGAAAUUAUUUAUAAUGUUUACUUUGGUCAACUUACUUUAUUUGAUAUUGGUUUCUAUUAUUUUUAACUGAAUAUUGUUUUGUAAAUGUUGACAUUUUUGAAAAUGAAAAUGAAAAUAAUUAUUUGUCAUAAUAUAAUUUUUUUUUGUUUUAAAUCCGGUGUGGACAUCUUCAGUGACUUAUAGCUUCAAAUUGUUUUAUAACAUAGCCUAAACUUUUAUAUAAUAUAGAUUUAUGUUAAAUUUCCAAAUAUUUAGUAUAUGUAUAUGAAUCAAUUCCAUUUUAAUUAUUUAUUUAGUAGUUUGCUUUUUUGAUAUUGAAUUAUAUUUAUUAUUCAAAUAAUAAAUUUUGGAAAUUUUAACAUUUAAAAGAAUAGUAAAUUAAAAUUAUGAUUUUUAUAUUUUAAUUGGUUGUUGAUAACCCUCUAUGUAUAUUCUCAAUGGCUUUUAACCUCAGUUUCUAUAUAGUAAAUAUAUUUUUGGGGUUUUAGAAAUAUGAUGUGAACAUUCUAAAUAUUUUAUACCUUCAACUUGUACAUAGUAUAUGUUAUUUGUGAAUAUGUUCAUUAGCAUAUAGCCUAAAAUAAAUUUAUUUACUUAUAUUUUUUUGAAAGUCUUGCAUCUUUUAACUUAAUUAUUAUUUUUUAUUUAUAUGUUUAUGUUAAAUUUCGAAAAAUAUUUUAUAUAUUAAGUUAACUUAUUUAUAAUGUUUUAUUUUUGUCAACUUAACUAAUUUGAUAUUGCUUUCUGUUUUAUUUUGAAAUAAACAAUUUUGGAAAAUAUUAACAUUUUAAAAGUAAUAAAUUAAAAUAAUGAUGUGUCAUAUUUUGAUUGGUCGUUUAACAUCCUACGCGAACGCUUUCAAUGGCUUAUAGCCUCAAUUUUUAUAUAGUAUAGAUAGCAAAAAUUAAGAUAUUAAUUUGUCAUAAUUUGAUUGGUGGUUUAAUUCCUAUAUGGAUGCUUCUAAUGACUUAUAACCUCAACUUUUAUAUAGUAUAUAUACUAAAAUUUGAAAAUUCUGUCAUAAUACAUUUUUAAAUUAGUUAUUAUUUUGGUAAUUUUUUUAAUGUUAUUUUUCGAAAUUAUGUUAUAUAUUUAGCUAACUUAUCUAUGAUGUUUUUACUUUUGUAAGUUUUCCAUUUUUGAUACUGGUUUAGUUUUUAUUUGGAAAUAAAUAACUUUUUGAAAAUUUUGACAUUUUAAAAAUUAAUAAACUAAAAUAAUAAUUUGUCAUAAUAUGAUUGGUUGUUUUAAAUCGUACUUGAACGCUCUCAAAGACUUAUAGCCUCAACUUUUAUAUAUCUUUUGAUCAAUAAAAGUUUGCUGAGUGAACUGAAUUAAGAACUUCUGAGAAGUUACCUUGUAACUUGUUUUGUUUUGAUGACCAAGAAAUUCUUAAUCUUAUAGACUACACCAGCCUUUAAAUCAUCUUCAUAGCAUGCUAUUCGAUUAGCUGGUAUGAAGGCGUGGAUUGUUGUUCCCUGUAAACAUUUGUGUCAAACAAACAAUGUGGUGCUUAUUAAAUUUUAAAUUGAGAAUGUCUAAAUAAUAUUUUUUUAUACCUUUUGAUCAAUAAGAAAUAACUCGAGACCCAUAAGCAAACCACUCUUGUUGAUGUUAUAUGCUUCCCAAAAGUGAACCACUCUAGCAAGAACUUCAUUCUUAUUAAAACCUUUUCUAAAAUCAUCGAAAACCAAAGAAGUAGGAGAAACAACCAUUGUGUAAAUAUCUAUUUUCUCUUUGCAAUAUCUAUCCCUUUCUCAAAGUAAAUCUUGAAAACUUUUUAGAACUUUAGACAAUUAUUUAUAGUUAUCCAAUACUUCAUAUGUUAGAAAGUUUCUUAUUUUAUGUAUUUAGUGAAUUUACCUUUUAGAUGUUUUAGUUUUUGUUAUUCAACUCCUUUAACAUCAGUUUUCCAUUUUUUUCAUUGGUCUAUUUUAUGUUAAUAUACAUAAAUUUUCAAAUCAUGACAUUUUAAAAAAUCAUUAUUUUUUAUUAGCCUACUUUAUUAGAUAAUAUACAUUUUUUUAUUAACAGGUAAUAUAGUAUUUAAGGAUAUGUUUUGACUUUUAAAAUUUUUGAUUUUUAAAUAUAAUAAUGAUAUAUCGACAUUAAGUAUUAACACUUAUAUUUUCUGUUAAUAUACAUCAAUUUGGAAAUCAUGACAUUUUAAAAACUAAUAAUUUUUUAUUAGCCUACUUUAUUAGAUAAUAUACAUUUUUUUUAUUAACAGGUAAUAUAAUAUUUAAGGUUAUGUUUUAACUUUAAAAAUUUUGAUUUUUAAAUCUUAUAAUUAUAAAUCGACAUUAAGUAUUAGAACUUAUAUUUUCUGUUAAUAUACAUUAAUUUGGAAAUCAUGACAUUUUAAAAACUAAUAAUUUUUUUAAUUAGCCUAUUUUAUUAGAUAAUAUACAUUUUUGGAAAUAUUAACAUUUAAUCUGAUUUUUCAUAUUUGUAUUGGUGGUUUUAAAUCCUA